rnacentral:lncRNA from 1 species
UUAGCAUUUGAGACAUAUUUUGGGUUUUUUUUGGGGAAAACUUCAAACACCCUCCCUGUGGUUUCACAUUUUUUUAUUUUAGUACCCUGUGGGACCUUGUGGUUUCGCACUUUCUCACUUUAGUACCCUAUGGUUUAAAGUGUAUCAAAUUAGUACCAUGUGAUUUUAUUUUUGUAUCAAGUUAGUACCCUAUAGUUUUAUUUUUCUCUUAAUGAAAUAUUAAACCACAGGGUACUAAAGUGAGAAAGUGCGAAACCACAAAGUACUAACUUGAUACACUUUAAACCAUAGGAUACUAAAGUGAGAAAGUGCGAAACCACAGGGUACUAACUUGAUACACUUUAAAUCACAUGAUACUAAAGUAAAAAAAAGUGAAACCACAAAGGGGGUAUUUGAAGUUUUCCUUUUUUUUUUAAUAAGGGUAAACUUUAAAUACCACCCUUAGAUUUGCAUUUUUUUACUUUGGUACCCUAUGAUUUAAAGUGUAUUAAUUUAGUAUCCUAUGAUUUCAUUUUUCUCUUUUUGUCAGUCCCUCCGUUAACUUUUCGUUAAAUUAUAUACAAAAAGUUUCAGAUACCCGACCUCGAGUUUAUCAAAUAUUCACUUUAAUAUCAUUUAGUUUUAAUUUUAUUACUAACUUAAUGAAAUAAAUUAGUGGAGGGGAUAAUAAAAAAAGGAAAAUGAAACUACAGGUUACGAAACUAAUACAGUUUAAACCAUAGAAUACUAAUGUGAGAAAAUGCGAAACCAUAGGGUGGUAUUUGAAUUUUUUUUUAAUAAUUCAAAGAAUGUGAAAUGAAGGUUUAAU